rnacentral:tRNA from 1 species
GCGGCCGUGGUCCAGCCUGGUCAAGAUCUUGGCCUUCCAAGCCAAUGACCCGGGUUCAAAUCCCGGCGGCCGCA